rnacentral:lncRNA from 1 species
CAUGACCGAGCUAGAUGCCGGCAUGGAAGCAAAGGUAGGCGCAAACCCUUCAGGCAUGAAAUUGGGCGGCAUUCCCCACGGGAAUCCGACAGGCAUAUUAGGUGCAAAGUGAGCAGUAGUUACAGGGAUGGUAGAGGUAGCAACCUCGGAAAUGACAAUCCUCUAAGGAGGAGGAGUUACAAGCGUUGGAGAAGAUUUGCUCUGAGUAGCUAACACUGACUCCAUCAUGGCAGUCAGAC